rnacentral:tRNA from 1 species
GGCGUCGUAGCCAAGUGGUAAGGCAAUGGACUGCAACUCCGUGACCCCCGGUUCAAAUCCGGGCGACGCCU